CGUAUAUUAAAGUUGUUGCAGUUAAAAAGCUCGUAGUUGGAUUUGUGGUGACAGUUGUGGUCCAUUUUUGGUACUAACGGUUGUUGCCAUCCUUGGGUGGAACCUGUGUGGCAUUAACUUGUCGUGCAGGGGAUGCCCAUCGUUUACUGUGAAAAAAUCAGCGCGUUCAAAGCAGGCUUAUGCCGUUGAAUGUCUUAGCAUGGAAUAAUAAGAUAGGACCUUGGUGCUAUUUUGUUGGUUUGCGUACCGAGGUAAUGAUUAAUAGGGACAGUUGGGGG
rnacentral:rRNA from 1 species